AGACACAAGGCAGAAGAAGUGUUCUAUGCAGUCAAAGUUUUACAGAAGAAAGCAAUCCUGAAAAAGAAAGAGGUAUGAGAUGUGCUUGAUGGGGCUGGCAUUGGCGGUAGACACUCCUUGAAUAAUCUUGAUUCUGGAAUGUUGGUGCCAAGUUGAAACAUGCCACUAAAUCUGAAUCGUCAUUUUCCUAGGAGAAGCAUAUUAUGUCGGAGCGGAAUGUUCUGUUGAAGAAUGUGAAGCACCCUUUCCUGGUGGGCCUUCACUUCUCUUUCCAGACUGCUGACAAAUUGUACUUUGUCCUAGACUACAUUAAUGGUGGAGAGUUGUUCUACCAUCUCCAGAGGGAACGCUGCUUCCUGGAACCACGGGCUCGUUUCUAUGCUGCUGAAAUAGCCAGUGCCUUGGGCUACCUGCAUUCACUGAACAUCGUUUAUAGGUAAGCCUGAGAGCUCUUCAGGCUACCAGUUUUGGUAUAAAGGAGACGUAGCACUGGCUGUU
rnacentral:lncRNA from 1 species